UAAGUCACAGGUUAAAGGUCAUUGCUCUUCAGUUGUGAUGAUAUUCAUAAUGUAGCACAGCCUCUCAUACCUGCAUUCAGGUGAUCUAUCUGAUAGAUUUACUGUAUUGAUGUUAACAUCAUGAGUCUUUGUAGUGAAGAUGAAGAGUAAAGUUAUGUUCUGAAUUUUCUGGGGUUUGUCUUCAGAUGCAAUGGACAAUAAAACAAUUGACAGAAACAAUGAAGAAAUGGACAGUUCAGUGUUUGUCUCUCUGUUGGUGUUUCUGCCUCAGUUUCUCAUUAUAGGAGCUGUAUGGAUCUGGUUUUUCAUCAGCAUGAAUAAAUUGAACUCAUCUGAAAACAAAACUGAUGACAAACAAAUAGAGAUGUUGCAGGUCUGUGAGUAGAUCAGCUGUCUGUCCAUCAGAACUACUGGAGUGAUGUCACAACUCUCUUUAUGACAUCAUCACCUAGCAACAGUCUCUCAGCAGUGACAUCAGUGAUGCAGUGAUGUCAUAUACAGUGACAUAUUAAUGACAGCUCAGUGUAAAUAAUCUAAUGUUCAAAUACAUGAAUUAUUCAUUGAAGUAUUGAGUUUAUCAUUCAACAGUCUUGUGUCAGUGUCAGAUCAACUGUAACAUCACAAUGCAUAAAUCCUGUAAAAACUUUGCUAUAGUGCAUCUUUAUGUAGAUGAUACUGUGAUCUACUUUCAUCUUCACUAUAAGUCAGGCUGUUAUUCAACUCAAUGCUGUUUUUAGUUCGGUUAGGAUUUUAUUACAGGGUUGUGCUUUAAUCUUGCAGUU